rnacentral:rRNA from 1 species
CGAACGGGUGAGUAACACGUGAGCAACCUGCCUUUCAGUGGGGGACAACAUUUGGAAACGAAUGCUAAUACCGCAUAAGACCACAGUGUCGCAUGGCACAGGGGUCAAAGGAUUUAUCCGCUGAAAGAUGGGCUCGCGUCCGAUUAGCUAGAUGGUGAGGUAACGGCCCACCCAUGGCGACGAUCGGUAGCCGGACUGAGAGGUUGAACGGCCACAUUGGGACUGAGACACGGCCCAGACUCCUACGGGAGGCAGCAU